CUGGGGGUCAGGGAAAGGGUCUGCACCAGAGGAUGAUCAAGCAUGGAAAAGAGGACAGCUCCAGGCUGCCCAAGUUCAAGGAGCAUUUGGACAACACUUUCAGAUACAGGGUUUGUAUUUUGGGUGGUCCUGCAUGGAGCCAGGAGCUGGACUGAUUGAUCUUUAUGGGUUCCUUCCGACUUGGGAUAUUCUGUGAUUCUACAAUAAAAAGGGAAACUUCAGUAUAAAGAAGUCAUAGGGUGCUGUUUUGUAUUACCUAAUGCAAAACAGCGAACAUAUCUUAUGGACACAAAGUUGUUCUGUGUGUUUCAGAUAGAAACUAACAAGUUAUUGGUGAGCAAUAACUACUUAGGUUAGCUCUCUUUAAUGUUCUAGACAAUGUAGAGAGAAAGAGCAGUUGAAGAUGAAGCCACAGCUGCUCCAAAGAGCUUUAAUUCUGGAUAGACUAGAAAACUAUACGCUUAAUUCAAAGACAAAUGAAAAAGAAUCAGUAUUGGUAAUGACAAUAAUCUCAGCAAACCAUCUGCUGAGCCAUCAUCAGUUGGCUUUUCUCCUGGAUCAAACUACCCAUUGAAAUCAGGUAUGCCUGUUUAGUAUUAAUGUGCUCAUUGGAAAGGAUAACAAAAAAAUACUGAAUACAUAUGAAUCUUAUCACUGGAUUCCAAUAUUACUUACUCUCUCAAAAGUUUACGCUGCUGAAGGUAUGUGACACAAUAGAGAAUGCUACCUGAUUACACAAACUGACUUCUGUCAUUACAACUACAAAAUGCAGACACUCUACUUCCAGCAUGUUUUCAAUGUCUACAUGCUUGAAAUGACAGAAUAGUGCAUAUGCAUAUGUCCAGCUCCAAGAAAAAAAAUUUUUUUAAAGUUCUUGGCUACUUGCCACAGAAAAUCUUCAUCUGUGCCAAUGAAUACUUACAGGAAUAAGGAGAAAACACUCUGUAAGCAACAAAGAAAUUUUUGCUACUCUGUUUAAAAUUGUAUGCUUAAUUACCAUUUUGGGUGGGUGAAUGUGGAUAGAAUUCCAGACUUCAGCAAUGUCUCCAUCCUGCAGUCCAAUCCCUCCAGACUUCAUUUUUUUCUUUUCAUGGCAUUUCACCUUCAGUUUAUCAGGUCAAGAUAACAAUCUAUGACUGAAUGAGUUUGAGAACUGGGAUUAUCAGCUGUCAGUUCAAUUUGGAUGAGAGAAGUCAUUAGAUUUUUUUUGGAAGCAAUAACAACUCAAAAGACCUUUUGCCUUUUCUCAUCUUAAUAAGUAAACCUUUCCUGAAGCAGCUGUUUUUGUUAACAAUACAAAAUCUAUUAUAAUUAACAACUUUAACAUAACAUUCUAGGUUUUGAAGAAACACGUUACAGGUUUGCCAUGUGUCUCUUUAGCUCUUGUGUUCUCAUCUAAGGCAAUAUGUUGAUUUGAGUAAAAUUCCCAUUAUUAGACAAAAUUUGCUCCCUCAAUAGCUUUGUAGCCUUGGCAUUUUCUCUACAAGACUCUGAAACUUUUCUGUGCAAAGACUUUAGUGCUUUGGUUUUGAGGAGAAAGUACUGGUGGGGCAGACAUUUAUUUGUCCUAACAAGAGAUUUUAACUGCACUGUGAAUAUCUACAUGUAGCUUGUCACAUGCCUUGCUGAUCUGACAUGUAAGCUAUGUAACUAGACAUCACUGAAAUAAUUUUGCCCACAAGUGAAAGAUAGAAAUCCAGAGUGACUGCAUUUAUGCUCAGAGAAAAGUGCUUUUUUGAGUAGAGAUCCACAGACAAAGACUGAUAUCUUGCAUGCAUACAGGAAGAAUUCAUGUAUGAAGAAGGAAGCUAAUUUCACUCAUACUUUGAUUCUCCUCACCCACUAGAACAGCAUUAUGUUGUGUUCAUUUUCUGUGGCACAGAAGUACUGCUGCUUUCUCCCAGCUUGGAAGGAUUGUGUGAUAACCCGCUGUGACUCUACAAGGGCUGCCCUGCUUUUCAUUUCAUCUGCCAUUUUUUUCUAAAUGCUGGGUUUGCCUUAUGCUGACCUGUUAUCUUUGUGAUUAUUUGCUUCCUGUUCUUUAAAACUGAAGGCAUCAGGAAAUAGUUCCCAAGGUGAAAAGUCUCUUUUAUAGCUAAAAUACACUGGAGAAAAUUUAGUAGUGCUCUGAAACUGAAGCAGCUUCCUAUCAGCCAUUUUAGGCAUUAGUUGCUACACAGAUUCUGCAUAGAGCUCAAUCAUAUAAGGCUUUUGUGUUUUACAGUAGUUUUCAUGCAAAAUAGGUGGGUUCAAAAUGAUAGUAAAUUGUAACAAUAAAAAAAGUAUGAACAAAGCCAAAACCAGAAAGAAAAAAAUAUCGGCACAGACCUUCCUUACAUCAUUAACUCACAUCUCACUGGCACAACCCAAAUUCAAUCCAUCAUCCUCAUGCACAGAUCACCAGGUCUCAAACUGCACAGAAGGUAGUCCCAGGGGCUGCCCAGCUGGCACUGUCUCUGGUGGCCCAGAAACCACUGCAGAGCCUUACCCAGCCACCUGAAACAGCUGAAGUGGCAUUUUAAAGUCUAUCCAUAACACAAGUAAAUCAGUAGGGAGAAAUGUGACUUCACUAUGCCUUUUUUCUUUCAUCUCCUGCCAAUACCAAAAGGUGCAUUUGUGCUGCAAGCCUCCGCAUUUGCACACAUUGAGCUCAGAUGUCAGCCCAAUUCUGUGGCUGCUGCCAGAGAGAGGUGUUCAAAGCCUGUAAAUUUUCAUUUUGAAAUUAAAUCUUUCCACAACAUUUAGGUCUUCAGGAUGAAAUAACAGUUUCUUCCAUGUUUUCAAUUUCUUUCAUUCUCCCUUUCUUUUAUAUACCAAUGUACCUAUGAAUACCUAUUUAUAUACCAAAACAAAAUUAUAACAAAUCUGCUUCUUUCCUUCAGAAACUCGCUGAAAAGUAUUAAUCAGAGGGAAAAAUGGGGAAUUUCAUGUUAUUUCUCCUUGCAAUAAUACUUCCACCUUCAGACAAGAAGUAAGCUUCAUUUUUCUCCUGUGUAACCUCUCAGAAUCUGUGGUUUUAGAAUUAUUAUCAUUUCUGCAGAUAAUCUCUUGUCCUUACUUUAUAUCUCCUUUCCUACGAGUUUCUUCCUCUUCAGAAAUGCUUAGAAUCUUUAAAUACACAGCUUCUCUUAAAAUAAACACAAAAAGUUUAUUAUUUUUCCUCUUACUCUCUCUCAAUCAAAACAGAGUUCUCCCUAUUACUAUUCACAGCGCAACUAUUCUGCCAGCUCCUAGACUCUGUAUUUCCGAAUGCCUCUGUCACUGGCCAAGGUAAGAAGAUCUGCAGUACCCAUGCAGAAUUACAUCAACAGAAUAAAAUCAUUGGAAGAGUUUGGUACCAAAUCCAAGCCUAGACUGUGGCUUAGCUGUAACACUUACCCAAGGAAAAUGAAGUGUCUGAACUGAUAGAGCAUAUACAAAAAUUAACACAUCUAGUUUCUGUCAUCACUCUUUCAUUAAAACUGCACCAAAGCAGAGUAAGAAA